GUAGGUGGCAAGCGUUGUCCGGAAUUAUUGGGCGUAAAGCGCGCGCAGGUGGUUCUUUAAGUCUGAUGUGAAAGCCCCCGGCUCAACCGGGGAGGGUCAUUGGAAACUGGGGAACUUGAGUGCAGGAGAGGAAAGUGGAAUUCCACGUGUAGCGGUGAAAUGCGUAGAUAUGUGGAGGAACACCAGUGGCGAAGGCGACUUUCUGGCCUGUAACUGACACUGAGGCGCGAAAGCGUGGGGAGCAAACAGGGAUUAGAUACCCUGGUAGUCCACGCCGUAAACGAUGAGUGCUAAGUGUUGGGGGGGCUUCCGCCCCCUCAGUGCUGCAGCUAACGCAUUAAGCACUCCGCCCUGGGAGUACGGUCGCAAGACUG
rnacentral:rRNA from 1 species